rnacentral:tRNA from 1 species
GCAGCGGUCGCUUAGCCUGGUAGAGCGCUGGCCUGGAAAGCCAGUGUGGGUAAUCCAUGCGGGGGUUCGAAUCCCUCUCGCUGCG